UACGUAGGGUGCGAGCGUUGUCCGGAAUUAUUGGCGUAAAGAGCUUGUAGGCGGUCUGUCGCGUCUGCUGUGAAAAUCCGGGCUCAACCCGGACUUGCAGUGGGUACGGCAGACUAGAGUGUGGUAGGGGAGACUGGAAUUCCUGGUGUAGCGGUGGAAUGCGCAGAUAUCAGGAGGAACACCGAUGGCGAAGGCAGGUCUCUGGGCCACUACUGACGCUGAGAAGCGAAAGCAUGGGGAGCGAACAGG
rnacentral:rRNA from 1 species